AGUGGGGAAUAUUGGACAAUGGGCGAAAGCCUGAUCCAGCCAUGCCGCGUGAGUGAUGAAGGCCCUAGGGUUGUAAAGCUCUUUCAACGGUGAAGAUAAUGACGGUAACCGUAGAAGAAGCCCCGGCUAACUUCGUGCCAGCAGCCGCGGUAAUACGAAGGGGGCUAGCGUUGUUCGGAAUUACUGGGCGUAAAGCGCACGUAGGCGGACUAUUAAGUCAGGGGUGAAAUCCCGGGGCUCAACCCCGGAACUGCCUUUGAUACUGGUAGUCUAGAGUCCGAGAGAGGUGAGUGGAAUUCCGAGUGUAGAGGUGAAAUUCGUAGAUAUUCGGAGGAACACCAGUGGCGAAGGCGGCUCACUGGCUCGGUACUGACGCUGAGGUGCGAAAGCGUGGGGAGCAAA
rnacentral:rRNA from 1 species